CAAGUCGAACGGCAGCGCGAGAGAGCUUGCUCUCUUGGCGGCGAGUGGCGGACGGGUGAGUAAUAUAUCGGAACGUGCCCAGUAGCGGGGGAUAACUACUCGAAAGAGUGGCUAAUACCGCAUACGCCCUACGGGGGAAAGGGGGGGAUCGCAAGACCUCUCACUAUUGGAGCGGCCGAUAUCGGAUUAGCUAGUUGGUGGGGUAAAGGCUCACCAAGGCAACGAUCCGUAGCUGGUUUGAGAGGACGACCAGCCACACUGGGACUGAGACACGGCCCAGACUCCUACGGGAGGCAGCAGUGGGGAAUUUUGGACAAUGGGGGAAACCCUGAUCCAGCCAUCCCGCGUGUAUGAUGAAGGCCUUCGGGUUGUAAAGUACUUUUGGCAGAGAAGAAAAGGUAUCCCCUAAUACGGGAUACUGCUGACGGUAUCUGCAGAAUAAGCACCGGCUAACUACGUGCCAGCAGCCGCGGUAAUACCUAGGGUGCAAGCGUUAAUCGGAAUUACUGGGCGUAAAGCGUGUGUAGGCGGUUCGGAAAGAAAGAUGUGAAAUCCCAGGGCUCAACCUUGGAACUGCAUUUUUAACUGCCGAGCUGGAGUAUGUCAUAGGGGGGUAGAAUUCCACGUGUAGCAGUGAAAUGCGUAGAUAUGUGGAGGAGUACCCAUGGCG
rnacentral:rRNA from 1 species